rnacentral:rRNA from 1 species
AAAGGGCGCGUAGGCGGACUGGUUAGUCAGAUGUGAAAUUCCUGGGCUUAACCUGGGGGCUGCAUUUGAGACGGCUGGUCUAGAGUGGGGAAGAGGGUCGUGGAAUUCCCAGUGUAGAGGUGAAAUUCGUAGAUAUUGGGAAGAACACCGGUGGCGAAGGCGGCGACCUGGUCCUUGACUGACGCUGAGGCGCGAAAGCGUGGGGAGCAAACAGGAUUAGAUACCCGAGU